rnacentral:rRNA from 1 species
GGUUAAGCGACUAAGCGUACACGGUGGAUGCCCUGGCAGUCAGAGGCGAUGAAGGACGUGCUAAUCUGCGAUAAGCGUCGGUAAGGUGAUAUGAACCGUUAUAACCGGCGAUUUCCGAAUGGGGAAACCCAGUGUGAUUCGUCACACUAUCAUUAACUGAAUCCAUAGGUUAAUGAGGCGAACCGGGGGAACUGAAACAUCUAAGUACCCCGAGGAAAAGAAAUCAACCGAGAUUCCCCCAGUAGCGGCGAGCGAACGGGGAGCAGCCCAGAGCCUGAAUCAGUGUGUGUGUUAGUGGAAGCGUCUGGAAAGGCGCGCGAUACAGGGUGACAGCCCCGUACACAAAAAUGCACAUGCUGUGAGCUCGAUGAGUAGGGCGGGACACGUGGUAUCCUGUCUGAAUAUGGGGGGACCAUCCUCCAAGGCUAAAUACUCCUGACUGACCGAUAGUGAACCAGUACCGUGAGGGAAAGGCGAAAAGAACCCCGGCGAGGGGAGUGAAAAAGAACCUGAAACCGUGUACGUACAAGCAGUGGGAGCACGCUUAGGCGUGUGACUGCGUACCUUUUGUAUAAUGGGUCAGCGACUUAUAUUCUGUAGCAAGGUUAACCGAAUAGGGGAGCCGAAGGGAAACCGAGUCUUAACUGGGCGUUAAGUUGCAGGGUAUAGACCCGAAACCCGGUGAUCUAGCCAUGGGCAGGUUGAAGGUUGGGUAACACUAACUGGAGGACCGAACCGACUAAUGUUGAAAAAUUAGCGGAUGACUUGUGGCUGGGGGUGAAAGGCCAAUCAAACCGGGAGAUAGCUGGUUCUCCCCGAAAGCUAUUUAGGUAGCGCCUCGUGAAUUCAUCUCCGGGGGUAGAGCACUGUUUCGGCAAGGGGGUCAUCCCGACUUACCAACCCGAUGCAAACUGCGAAUACCGGAGAAUGUUAUCACGGGAGACACACGGCGGGUGCUAACGUCCGUCGUGAAGAGGGAAACAACCCAGACCGCCAGCUAAGGUCCCAAAGUCAUGGUUAAGUGGGAAACGAUGUGGGAAGGCCCAGACAGCCAGGAUGUUGGCUUAGAAGCAGCCAUCAUUUAAAGAAAGCGUAAUAGCUCACUGGUCGAGUCGGCCUGCGCGGAAGAUGUAACGGGGCUAAACCAUGCACCGAAGCUGCGGCAGCGACACUAUGUGUUGUUGGGUAGGGGAGCGUUCUGUAAGCCUGUGAAGGUGUACUGUGAGGUAUGCUGGAGGUAUCAGAAGUGCGAAUGCUGACAUAAGUAACGAUAAAGCGGGUGAAAAGCCCGCUCGCCGGAAGACCAAGGGUUCCUGUCCAACGUUAAUCGGGGCAGGGUGAGUCGACCCCUAAGGCGAGGCCGAAAGGCGUAGUCGAUGGGAAACAGGUUAAUAUUCCUGUACUUGGUGUUACUGCGAAGGGGGGACGGAGAAGGCUAUGUUGGCCGGGCGACGGUUGUCCCGGUUUAAGCGUGUAGGCUGGUUUUCCAGGCAAAUCCGGAAAAUCAAGGCUGAGGCGUGAUGACGAGGCACUACGGUGCUGAAGCAACAAAUGCCCUGCUUCCAGGAAAAGCCUCUAAGCAUCAGGUAACAUCAAAUCGUACCCCAAACCGACACAGGUGGUCAGGUAGAGAAUACCAAGGCGCUUGAGAGAACUCGGGUGAAGGAACUAGGCAAAAUGGUGCCGUAACUUCGGGAGAAGGCACGCUGAUAUGUAGGUGAAGCGACUUGCUCGUGGAGCUGAAAUCAGUCGAAGAUACCAGCUGGCUGCAACUGUUUAUUAAAAACACAGCACUGUGCAAACACGAAAGUGGACGUAUACGGUGUGACGCCUGCCCGGUGCCGGAAGGUUAAUUGAUGGGGUCAGCGCAAGCGAAGCUCUUGAUCGAAGCCCCGGUAAACGGCGGCCGUAACUAUAACGGUCCUAAGGUAGCGAAAUUCCUUGUCGGGUAAGUUCCGACCUGCACGAAUGGCGUAAUGAUGGCCAGGCUGUCUCCACCCGAGACUCAGUGAAAUUGAACUCGCUGUGAAGAUGCAGUGUACCCGCGGCAAGACGGAAAGACCCCGUGAACCUUUACUAUAGCUUGACACUGAACAUUGAGCCUUGAUGUGUAGGAUAGGUGGGAGGCUUUGAAGUGUGGACGCCAGUCUGCAUGGAGCCGACCUUGAAAUACCACCCUUUAAUGUUUGAUGUUCUAACGUUGACCCGUGAUCCGGGUUGCGGACAGUGUCUGGUGGGUAGUUUGACUGGGGCGGUCUCCUCCUAAAGAGUAACGGAGGAGCACGAAGGUUGGCUAAUCCUGGUCGGACAUCAGGAGGUUAGUGCAAUGGCAUAAGCCAGCUUGACUGCGAGCGUGACGGCGCGAGCAGGUGCGAAAGCAGGUCAUAGUGAUCCGGUGGUUCUGAAUGGAAGGGCCAUCGCUCAACGGAUAAAAGGUACUCCGGGGAUAACAGGCUGAUACCGCCCAAGAGUUCAUAUCGACGGCGGUGUUUGGCACCUCGAUGUCGGCUCAUCACAUCCUGGGGCUGAAGUAGGUCCCAAGGGUAUGGCUGUUCGCCAUUUAAAGUGGUACGCGAGCUGGGUUUAGAACGUCGUGAGACAGUUCGGUCCCUAUCUGCCGUGGGCGCUGGAGAACUGAGGGGGGCUGCUCCUAGUACGAGAGGACCGGAGUGGACGCAUCACUGGUGUUCGGGUUGUCAUGCCAAUGGCACUGCCCGGUAGCUAAAUGCGGAAGAGAUAAGUGCUGAAAGCAUCUAAGCACGAAACUUGCCCCGAGAUGAGUUCUCCCUGACUCCUUGAGAGUCCUGAAGGAACGUUGAAGACGACGACGUUGAUAGGCCGGGUGUGUAAGCGCAGCGAUGCGUUGAGCUAACCGGUACUAAUGAACCGUGAGGCUUAACCUU